CACUCAAAAAAUCCCAAACACUCAAAAAAAAAAACCCACUAAGAAUCUUGUCAGCCAGAACAUAAAGAAAAUCAGCUUCAGUUUUUUGAAGCAAUUGGGUAUCUCUGUUUUGAUGAUACCUAAGGGGCAGAUAGGUGUGCUGC